AUUGAACGCUAGCGGCAUGCCUUACACAUGCAAGUCGAACGAGAAAGGAGACUUCGGUCCCUGAGUACAGUGGCGCACGGGGUGAGUAACACGUGACUUAUCUACCCUCGAGUGGGGAAUAACUUCGGGAAACCGAGGCUAAUACCGCAUAAUACCCACGGGUCAAAGGAGCAAUUCGCUUGAGGAGGGGGUCGCGGCCGAUUAGUUAGUUGGCGGGGUAAUGGCCCACCAAGACAGUGAUCGGUAUCCGGCCUGAGAGGGCGCACGGACACACUGGAACUGAAACACGGUCCAGACUCCUACGGGAGGCAGCAGUGGGGAAUUUUGCGCAAUGGGGGAAACCCUGACGCAGCAACGCCGCGUGGAGGAUGAAGUCUCUUGGGACGUAAACUCCUUUCGAUCGGGACGAUUAUGACGGUACCGGAAGAAGAAGCCCCGGCUAACUUCGUG
rnacentral:rRNA from 1 species